ensembl:lincRNA
UAGAAUGCAUUUGCUGGUUUCCUGUGUGGGCUUUAACCCUCUGGGUUUUCCUUCAGCUUUGGAGGUUCUGAUAUUAUUUCUGGAAGGGAACUGAGUGACAGCUGUGAAGGCACCUUUGGAGGAGGCAGACUGGGGGGCAGAGCUGCCCAGAAACACCACCAUAGGUUCGUGCGUGCACGCUCCCGGCAGGAGAAGGCCAGCCGGCCCCGGCUCACUAUCCUGAAUAUAACUGGGGUGUGGGUGUGUGGGCAUGAUGUCCUCUGCAAUCUGACCAUGACUUCCUGCAGGUAUGCAACACGGGACAAGAUGGUGGAGUGCCAGCCGGAAACGCAUAACCACAAGAUGGUGACCUUCAAGUUUGACUUGGAUGGGGACGCUCCUGAUGAGAUCGCCACAUACAUGGAAAAGGCAAAACCUGAGAUGACCUGGAGGAGCAAAGGGAAGCUGCAUCACCAGCCUCUCGUGCCCUGUGUCCCUGCGUAGAACUUCUGUCACCCUCCUCGACUUCCAGAAGGGCCAUUUGAAGCCCACGCUCCAACCAUCAACCUCAGCUCUGCCUCCACCUGGAGCCACCCUUACCUGCUGGAGCAGAGCUCACUGUGGGCACCUGCUCACUCAUGGGUUUUUCUGUGUCCCAGUGUCCUCAGGGAAGUCUGUCUCCUCUGUGCCGGACAGCUUUAGUGUCAACUGGACACGCCUCGGUUGAGGGAGCCUCAAUUGGGGAAUUGCCUCCAUUGGACUGCCCUAUGGCCACUUCUGUGGGGAACCUUCUUGAUGGUUGAGUGAUGUGGGAGGGCCCAGCCCACUGUGGGUGGUGCCAUCUCUGGGCAUGUGGGCCCAUGUUGUAUAAGAAAGCAGGCUGAGCAGGGGCCAGGGGAGCAAGCCAGUAAGCGUGCUGGGAGACUGGUCCUCUUAAGGAUGUGCACGUCUCAAAUUUCAAAUCCCCAAAUCGGUUCCGUCAGCAUUUUGAACAUGGAGGAAAUAAGAGGCAGAAGCACAUCUGGUGGCCCCGCCUACUGGGGUUCCUGUGGGACUCCAACUUCCUUUUACUGUAGCCGCUUACCUUGGGGUCAUGCUGCGUUCCCUUGGGGUGAGGAGGCAACAGCAAAAUGUUCUAAAGACCUGAAGGAAACAAGGAAACGCCUCCUCACCCCCUUCCACACUCUUCUCCGUCUAGAUGUGGAGACUAUGGUGGCGGGGGAGGGGGGGUGCUGGGCCCUGCUGUUUUCAUCAGGUGAUGGCUCCUCAAGGACCAGGGCCCUGCUGUUUUUGUCACGUGAUGGCUCCUCAAGGACCAGGGCCCUGCUGUUUUUGUCUAUACAGGGCCUCACAAGCUUCCCUAUCCGGGAAUAAGUAGCACCACAGCUUACUUUGACUAUAGUAUAGAUUUCCUUGGCAUCAUUACAUGUUGUGGAUUUUAUGGAUAGCACAAGUUCCUCAAUGGUAAACCCCACAGAGCACUUGGUUUCCACAAUGUUGGUUACUGGGAUCCUAGGGACAUUUUCUCUGGAGCCUGGUGGUAUACUUCCACAACGAUCCCAAGGCCAGGGGUGCCCCAGCAGCUGGCCUAUAUCUAUCCUAUAGCCAUGAUCCCCAGCAAGCAACAUUGCAAUGAAAUGUUCAAUUUUGUUGACACAUUUGGUGGAGAUGGGUACAUGGAGGCUAAGAUUGCCCAGUGGAGAUCUGCAGGUGUGAGUGCACGAUGUGGCAUGCACCCAGUGACCACAGAGUAAACAACGAAGCCUAGGCGCCACAGAUCCUUUGGCAUUCCUUCAUAGGCCCUGCCCUCUAACAUUUCAGGAGCUAAAUAAGGCAUUGAGCGACAGGCCUCUUCCCACAUCUGCCCUGGUGUCACUCUUGUUGCUAAUCAAGAGUCACACCGUUUGGUUUUUCCCAUCAGAGUCACUAGGAUGUUGUCACGCUUUAUACUUAGGUGGACAAUGUGUCUUUUGUGGAGGUGCUGCAUGACUAAUGCCACCCGAGGGACAAAGGGGAGAGCCCUCUGCCCCUCCAUGGGGCCAAAAUCCUGUAGGAUGCUCACAAUGUCCCAGCCUUGGACAAAUUCCAUAACCAUGUAGGUCUUUGUUGAUGUGACAAAAGUAUGAAAACGCUUCACGAUGUUUUGAUGCUGUGCGGCUUCCGUGAUUUCCAACUCAGUUUUGAUGCAGCGGUCCACGAUUACGCACUUUUUCAUGAUAACGGGUAUUGGUUCGGAGAUGACGUGCCAACUUUACUUCCCCAAAUGCACCACAGACCGAGUUAAUUAAGACCUUGGGUUUAUCUCCAAGGAGUUGUAUGCCAGAGAGGGUGGACUUGACCUCCACCUUCGUGUCCCUCACCUUCCAUGGUUUUGGAUUCCACCAAGAGACAACGCUAGAUGAAAAGAAAAAGCAGGUCUAAGAACUUUACAACUAUCAAUUCCUGUAUCAUAAAAUCACAAAGUAAUGUAACCACAUACUUCAAGGUCACAGAGAAACGAGAGCCACCCACACCCCCAAGGAGAUGACAAAACAAUGAAGAUCAGAGCUGGAGUCAAUGAAGUGGGCGCCAAGACACGAACUCGAAGGUCAAAUGAAAGAAGAGCUGUUACCUGAAAAGGAAACAACAUGGCAAAGCCUCACCCACACAAAACCACUGAGAAGAC